rnacentral:rRNA from 1 species
UCAAGCGAAGAAGGGCGCAGGGCGGAUGCCUUGGCACUGAGAGCCGAUGAAAGACGUGAUAAGCUGCGAUAAGCUUCGGGGAGGAGCAAAUAUCCCGUGAUCCGGAGAUGUCUGAAUGGGGAAACCCACAUGAGCAAACCUCAUGUAUCCAUACGCCAAUCCAUAACGUAUGGAAGGGAACCCGGGGAACUGAAACAUCUAAGUACCCGGAGGAAAAGAAAGAAAACUCGAUUCCGUAAGUAGCGGCGAGCGAACGCGGAGGAGCCUAAACCGGAAUGCGUGCAUUCCGGGGUUACGGACUGCAUUUAAGAUUCAGUGAUGUUAACAGAACGGUUUUGGGAAAGCCGGCCGGAGAGGGUGAAAGCCCCGUACGUGAAAGCAGAGCUGACUGAGCAGGAUCCAGAGUACCACGAGACACGUGGAACCUUGUGGGAAAUCAGGGGGACCACCCCCUAAGGCUAAAUACUACUUAGUGACCGAUAGCGCAUAGUACUGUGAAGGAAAGGUGAAAAGGACCCCGGGAGGGGAGUGAAAGAGAACCUGAAACCCUGUGUUUACAAGCUGUGGAACCACCAUAUGAGUGGAACCGCGUACUUUUUGUAGAACGGUCCGGCGAGUUAUGGUUGCUGGCAAGGUUAAGGACGAAAAGUCCGGAGCCGAAGGGAAACCGAGUCUUAAUAGGGCGCCAAGUCAGCAGACAUAGACCCGAAACCGGGUGACCUACCCAUGUCCAGGUUGAAGCCGCUGUAAAAGGCGGUGGAGGACCGAACGCACAUCUGUUGAAAAAGGUGGCGAUGAGGUGUGGGUAGCGGAGAAAUUCCAAUCGAACUCGGAGAUAGCUGGUUCUCCCCGAAAUAGCUUUAGGGCUAGCGUUAUGUUAGAUUACCGGAGGUAAAGCACUGAAUGGUAGCGGGGCCGAUAAGGUUACCAACGCCUAUCAAACUAAGAAUGCCGGCUAAUUGAUGCAUAGCAGUCAGACAGUGUGAGAUAAGUUUCAUUGUCAAAAGGGAAACAGCCCAGACCCACAGCUAAGGUCCCAAAGUACGGUUAAGUGGAAAAGGAUGUGGGGUUGCACAGACAACCAGGAUGUUGGCUUAGAAGCAGCCACUCAUUAAAAGAGUGCGUAAUAGCUCACUGGUCGAGUGACCCUGCGCCGAAAAUUCAACGGGGCUAAAAUCUAUACCGAAGCUUGGGCUGCAAUUGAAAGAUUGCGGGGUAGGGGAGCGUCGUAUAAGAGGAGAAGUCAUAGCGGAAGCGAUGGUGGAUUUUAUACGAGUGAGAAUGCCGGAAUGAGUAGCGAGAAUUAUGUGAGAAUCAUAAUGGCCGAAAAUCUAAGGUUUUAGGAGGAAGGUUCGUCCGCUCCUAGUAAGCCGGGAGCUAAGGCGAGGCGGAAACGCGUAGCCGAUGCACAUACGGUAGAAAUUCCGUAGCCUCUGAAAGAUUUAAGCACAAGGACACUUGAGAAGCGUUUAUCCGGGAGUUGGUAUUCCCGGUCGUAAGGGACCCCGAAUGGGGGAAGUAAAUGUGGAUUGAGGCAAGAAAAGUUGUGUGAAUAUCUGAAGAGCCCGUACCGCAAACCGACACAGGUAGAUAGGAAGAGAAUUCUAAGGCCAACGGGAGAAGGGUUGUUAAGGAACUCGGCAAGUUGACUCCGUAACUUAGGGAGAAGGAGUGCUCGAAAGAGCCGCAGAGAAUAGGCCCAAGCGACUGUUUAGCAAAAACACAGCUCUAUGCUAAAUCGAAAGAUGACGUAUAUGGGGUGACACCUGCCCGGUGCUGGAAGGUUAAGAGGAGAUGUCAUCGCAAGAGAAGCAUUGAAUCGAAGCCCCAGUAAACGGCGGCCGUAACUAUAACGGUCCUAAGGUAGCGAAAUUCCUUGUCAGGUAAGUUCUGACCCGCACGAAUGGUGUAACGAUUUGGGCACUGUCUCAACAACCCGCCCGGCGAAAUUGUAGUACCGGUGAAGAUGCCGGUUACCCGCGACUAGACGGAAAGACCCCAUGGAGCUUCACUGCAGCUUAAUAUUGGAUUUUGGUAUUUCAUGUACAGGAUAGGUGGGAGACUGAGAAGCAAAGGCGUCAGCUUUUGUGGAGUCGCUGUUGGGAUACCACUCUUGAAGUGCUGAAAUUCUAACCUGCGCCCUUGAAUCAGGGCGGGGGACAUUGUUAGGUGGGCAGUUUGACUGGGGCGGUCGCCUCCAAAAAGGUAACGGAGGCGCUCAAAGGUUCGCUCAGCAUGGAUGGAAACCAUGCCAGAGAGUGUAAACGCAAAAGCGAGCCUAACUGCGAGACUGACGGGUCGAGCAGUAACGAAAGUUGGAGUUAGUGAUCCGGCGGUAUGUGAGUGGAAAUGCCGUCGCUCAACGGAUAAAAGCUACCCUGGGGAUAACAGGCUGAUCU